AUUGAACGCUGGCGGCAUGCCUUACACAUGCAAGUCGAACGGCAGCACGGGUGCUUGCACCUGGUGGCGAGUGGCGAACGGGUGAGUAAUACAUCGGAACGUACCUUAUCGUGGGGGAUAACGCAGCGAAAGUUGCGCUAAUACCGCAUACGCCCCGAGGGGGAAAGCGGGGGACCGUAAGGCCUCGCGCUAUUAGAGCGGCCGAUGUCUGAUUAGCUUGUUGGUGAGGUAAAAGCUCACCAAGGCGAUGAUCGGUAGCUGGUCUGAGAGGACGAUCAGCCACACUGGGACUGAGACACGGCCCAGACUCCUACGGGAGGCAGCAGUGGGGAAUUUUAGACAAUGGGGGCAACCCUGAUCCAGCAAUGCCGCGUGAGUGAAGAAGGCCUUCGGGUUGUAAAGCUCUUUUGUCAGGGAAGAAACAGCAGCUCUAACACAGUCUGCGAAUGACGGUACCUGAAGAAUAAGCACCGGCUAACUACGUGCCAGCAGCCGCCGUAA
rnacentral:rRNA from 1 species